UACGUAGGGUGCAAGCGUUGUCCGGAAUUAUUGGGCGUAAAGAGCUCGUAGGCGGUCUGUCGCGUCUGCUGUGAAAACUCAGGGCUUAACCCUGAGUUUGCAGUGGGUACGGGCAGACUAGAGUGCGGUAGGGGAGACUGGAAUUCCUGGUGUAGCGGUGAAAUGCGCAGAUAUCAGGAGGAACACCGGUGGCGAAGGCGGGUCUCUGGGCCGUAACUGACGCUGAGGAGCGAAAGCAUGGGGAGCGAACAGG
rnacentral:rRNA from 1 species